GGCUCGGUAGCGGAUGGUCCGCGUCUACUUCCAAUGAACCCUACUCCAGUCACUUGUGAGAAUGCAGAUUCCGCCUGUUAGACUCAGGCCCGAGCCA